GAUGAAGAACGUAGCAAAAUGCGAUACUUGGUGUGAAUUGCAGAAUCCCGUGAACCAUCGAGUCUUUGAACGCAAGUUGCGCCCGAAGCCAUUAGGCCGAGGGCACGCCUGCCUGGGCGUCACACGUCGUUGCCCCCCCAUCUACUCCUUCGGGAUUGCGGGGGGCGGAUGAUGGCCUCCCGUGCGCCUCGCCGCGCGGUUGGCAUAAAUGCCAAGUCCUCGGCGACGCACGCCACGACAAUCGGUGGUUGCGAAACCUCGGUUGCCCGUCGUGUGCGGUCGUCGCGCAUCGAGGGCUCGAAAAAAUUGCCGGGUUCCGGCUCGGCUUUCAACGCGACCCCAGGUCAGGCGGGGUUACCCGCUGAAUUUAAGCAUAUCAAUAAGCGGAGA
rnacentral:misc_RNA from 1 species